GAAAGACUCUCGGCAACGGAUAUCUCGGCUCUUGCAUCGAUGAAGAACGUAGCGAAAUGCGAUACUUGGUGUGAAUUGCAGAAUCCCGUGAACCAUCGAGUCUUUGAACGCAAGUUGCGCCCGAAGCCAUUAGGCCGAGGGCAUGCCUGCCUGGGUGUUGCACAUCGUUGCCCU
rnacentral:rRNA from 1 species